GUCCACGCCCUAAACGAUGAUCACUCGAUGUGUGCGAUAUACUGUACGCGUCUGAGCGAAAGCAUUAAGUGAUCCACCUGGGGAGUACGACCGCAAGGUUUAAACUCAAAGGAAUUGACGGGGCCCGCACAAGCGGAGGAGCAUGUGGUUUAAUUCGAUGAUACGCGAGGAACCUUACCAGGGCUUGAAAGUUAGUGAAGUAUGUGGAAACAUAUACGUCAGCAAUGACACGAAACUAGGUGCUGCAUGGCUGUCGU
rnacentral:rRNA from 1 species